UACGGGGGGAGCAAGCGUUGUUCGGAUUUACUGGGCGUAAAGGGCGCGUAGGCGGUCAGCACAAGUCAGUUGUGAAAUCUCCGGGCUUAACUCGGAAAGGUCAACUGAUACUGUGCGACUAGAGUGCGGAAGGGGCAACUGGAAUUCUCGGUGUAGCGGUGAAAUGCGUAGAUAUCGAGAGGAACACCUGCGGCGAAGGCGGCAUCCUGGACCAAUUCUGACGCUGAGGAGCGAAAGCCAGGGGAGCAAACGGG
rnacentral:rRNA from 1 species